UAAGGUCUCGGCGAGAUUAGCCGGUUAUAAUAUUAAUAUUAAUAUUAUAAUAAUAGGUGUUAGGUGGAAGUGCAAUUAUGCAUGUAGCUGAAGCAUACUAAUAUAAAGUAAAAAAAAGACCAAUAGAAUUAAAC
rnacentral:rRNA from 1 species